AUUCUUCUCUGCUAUCUUUAUGAAGCUAUGGAUAGAGAGAAAGAGAGUACCACCAGUAUAGAAGACAUAACGAGAAUGACAAGGUCAGUUAUUAGCAGUAUAGAAGACAUAACGAGAAUGACAAGGUCAGUUAUUAGCAGUAUAGAAGACAUAACGUGAAUGACAAGGUCAGUUAUUAGCAGUAUAGAAGACAUAACGUGAAUGCCAUUAUCGACUCCAGGGCCCAUGCCAGCACCACAUUGCACUCCCUCAUGGAACACAGAAAGAAGCUUCUCAUCCUACAGACAGUUGUUAUUGAUAUUCAAAAAUUUAGAAAAUGAUAAUACCUUAAGAUAACUAAAUACCACUGAAAAU
rnacentral:lncRNA from 1 species